rnacentral:misc_RNA from 1 species
GAUGAAGAACGUAGCGAAAUGCGAUACUUGGUGUGAAUUGCAGAAUCCCGUGAACCAUCGAGUCUUUGAACGCAAGUUGCGCCCGAAGCCACUAGGCCGAGGGCACGCCUGCCUGGGCGUCACACGCCGUUGCCCCCCCAUCUACUCCUUCGGGAUUGCGGGGGGGCGGAUGAUGGCCUCCCGUGCGCCUAGCCGCGCGGUUGGCAUAAAUACCAAGUCCUCGGCGACGCACGCCACGACAAUCGGUGGUUGCGAAACCACGGUUGCCCGUCGUGUGCGUUCGUCGCGCAUCGAGGGCUCGAAAAAAUGCUCGGCUCCGGCUGGGCUUUCAACGCGACCCCAGGUCAGGCGGGGUUACCCGCUGAAUUUAAGCAUAUCAAUAAGCGGAGGA